AGCUCGAUAGCGUAACGGUAGCGCGUCUCUGUCCACUUACAACGGAAAGGUCUCGGUUCGACUCCGAGUCGAGCUA
rnacentral:tRNA from 1 species